rnacentral:rRNA from 1 species
CGCGCAGGUGGUUUCUUAAGUCUGAUGUGAAAGCCCACGGCUCAACCGUGGAGGGUCAUUGGAAACUGGGAGACUUGAGUGCAGAAGAGGAAAGUGGAAUUCCAUGUGUAGCGGUGAAAUGCGUAGAGAUAUGGAGGAACACCAGUGGCGAAGGCGACUUUCUGGACUGUAACUGACGCUGAGGCGCGAAAGCGUGGGGAGCAAACAGGAUUAGAUACCCUGGUAGUCCACGCCGUAAACGAUGAGUGCUAGGUGUAGAGGGUUUCCGCCCUUUAGUGCUGAAGUUAACGCAUUAAGCACUCCGCCUGGGGAGUACGGCCGCAAGGCUGAAACUUAAAAGAAUUGACGG